rnacentral:rRNA from 1 species
CCUACGGGAGGCAGCAGUGAGGAAUAUUGGUCAAUGGACGAGAGUCUGAACCAGCCAAGUAGCGUGAAGGAUGACUGCCCUAUGGGUUGUAAACUUCUUUUAUAUGGGAAUAAAAUGUUCCACGUGUGGGAUUUUGUAUGUACCAUAUGAAUAAGGAUCGGCUAACUCCGUGCCAGCAGCCGCGGUAAUACGGAGGAUCCGAGCGUUAUCCGGAUUUAUUGGGUUUAAGGGGAGCGUAGGGGGAUUGUUAAGUCAGUUGUGAAAGUUUGCGGCUCAACCGUAAAAUUGCAGUUGAAACUGGCAGUCUUGAGUACAGUAGAGGUGGGCGGAAGUCGUGGUGUAGCGGUGAAAUGCUUAGAUAUCACGAAGAACUCCGAUUGCGAAGGCAGUUCACUGGACUGCAACUGACACUGAGGCUCGAAAGUGUGGGUAUCAAACAGGAUUAGAUACCCUUGUAGUC